rnacentral:rRNA from 1 species
CAUGUAGGCGGCUUUUUAAGUCGGCCGUGAAAAUGCGGGGCUUAACCCCGUAUUGCGGUCGAAACUGGAGGGCUUGAGUGCAGGAGAGGAAAGGGGAAUUCCCAGUGUAGCGGUGAAAUGCGUAGAUAUUGGGAGGAACACCAGUGGCGAAGGCGCCUUUCUGGACUGUGUCUGACGCUGAGAUGCGAAAGCCAGGGUAGCAAACG